CACGUACUGUGCGAACGUUAUUCGGAAUCACUGGGCUUAAAGGGUGCGUAGGCGGUUUGUCAAGUCAGAUGUGAAAUGCCUGAGCUCAACUGAGGCACUGCGUUUGAAACUGACAGACUUGAGUAUUCCAGGGGUAUGCGGAACUGCCAGUGGAGCGGUGAAAUGCGUUGAUAUUGGCAGGAACACCAGUGGCGAAGGCGGCAUACUGGGGGAUAACUGACGCUGAGGCACGAAAGCCAGGGUAGCGAACGGGAUUAGAUACCCGCGUAGUCC
rnacentral:rRNA from 1 species